rnacentral:misc_RNA from 1 species
AGGUUAGCAACGACCAAUGUUUGGCUACAUCUUUUGCUCAGGCUAACAAAUCUUUUGUUCCUGUAUAUUUUUAAUGCCUGUUGGGUCAAGUUUUCUAAGUUUUUAAUAGCUUGCUCAUGUCAUCAUCUUUUCCUUUCUUUUUGCUUUUUGAGGGAUACUCUCAUGAACGCCUAACAACAAUAAUAGUGUGUCAUUACCUUUUAUUUUUAAUUCACUGUCCAAUCAUCUCAGCCUUUCUUACCUUGCCACUUAAAGAUCCAUGCCCACGAAUGGGCCUGAUCUGAUAAUCUCUGUCUCUCUUUUAAUCUUUUUAUUUUGAAGUUGAAAAGUUAAUUUUAUAACUACUGCUAGAUAUUAGACUUUGUUAUAUUGAGUUUUUUCACACAACCUAUGCCCUUUGUUAUUAUUUUUUUUCUUUCCAUAAUCAAGUAAAAGCUAUAAUAGCUCUCCUCAAGAACAUCAACGAUGGUUCCCUAUCAAAAACAGACAAUUCUUUUCUCCGAUACUUACAAAUUCUUGGUACAAACACUGCUAGCUAAACAUGAAUGUACAGAGACAACUUGCAUCAAUUAUCAGCAUGUUGUUCUCAGCAAAGUUCAGCUUUAUUUUGUUCGACUGUUUUAUGUGGAGUGUCAUUGAAUUUAUUUUGCUUUGCAGCUUUCCUUCUGAAUGUACUGAGAUGACUUGCAUCAAUUAGCUGCAUAUUGUUAUCAGCAAAGUUCAGCUUUAUUUAUUAUUGUUCACCCGUUUUAUGUGGCGUAUCAUUUAAUUUAUUUAGCUUUGCAGCUUUCCUUCCAAAUGUGGACAGAUCAAAUACAGGAAACACUGAAUUGUAAGAAGCGUGGUGAUGCUGCUUUUCGAACCAAGGACUUUGCUACUGCCAUUGAUUGUUACACACAA